CAUCCUGCCACUAACAGAUUUCUCCAAACAUCUCUGCACCUCAGAGUGCAAAUACAAUGAAACAUUUCACUCCAUUGAUAGGAAGGAUCCUUCACUAUCCUCUACCAAGGACUUCCUCCUUUGUUGCUUCAGAAUUUUAUUGGAAAGGAACAUCCAUUUUAUUCAAAGUACCUCCAAACCUGCAAUCCUAAAGUCCAGGCAACUCAAUCCCAAAAAUCUGCUGUAGAUGCCCAAAGGCUGUGAUAAUUAAGUCUUCAACAUUUCUACCUUUAUGGCUCCCAGUCAAGAUAGAGCUGCACCAAGUUCAAUUCCAUUUCUCAUCAAAGAUGAUUUUUUCCACUUUAUGAUCAGAACUAUACAACCUUCUUGCUUUGUCUCAGCAUGCUGUUGCACCCACUGGCAAAUUCUUAGGUAAGACAAAAACACAGCCUCAAGGGCAGGUAGUAGUUUUUCCAGAAAAAGGUAAGGCAAUCAUUUAUCUUGGUUUGCCCAGGAAAGUCCCAAUUUAUACACAUAUGUUCCCUCAAUCUGUAGGCUGUCUUUUCAUUUUGUUAUUUCAUUUAAUUUUUUAUUAUUUAUUUAUUUUGUAGCAUCAGAUCUCAUUAUGUUGCCCAGGGUGACCUUGAUCUCCUGGCCUCAAGUGAUGCUCCAACCUUGGCCUCCCAAAGUGCUGGGAUUACAGAUGGGAAUUACCGCACCCAGCCAAUGUGCAGAAGGUUUUCAGUUUGAUGUAGUCUGAUGUAAUCUUACCUAUUUAUUCUUGUUGUUGCCUGAACUUUUGGUGUGAUAUCCAAAAAUAUCAUUGUCAAGAUCAAUAUCAAGAAACUUCCUCCCCUAUGUUUCUUAUACAAAUUUUAUGGUUUCAGAUUUUUCAUCCACUUUAAUUUUAUGUAUGAUGUAAGAUGAGGGUCCAGUCUCCCCAGUGGUGGAUAUCCAAUUUUCCCAACACCAUUUAUUGAAGAAAUUAUUCUUUCUCCUUUCUCCAUUGUGUUUUCUUGAUGUUCUUGUCAAAAAUUAGUUGAGUUUUAUAUGCUUGGGUUUAUUUCUGGGCUCUCUAUUCUGUUUCAUUGCUUUAUGUCCUUUUCUUGCCAGUGCCACAGUGUUUUGAUUACUAUAGCUUUGUAAUAUAAUUUGAAAUCAGAAUGUGUAAUGCCUGUAACUUCGUUUUUCUUCUCUAAAGAUUUUUUUUUUUUUUUUUUUUUGCCAUUUCAGGUCUUUUGUGGUUUCAUAUGAAUUUCAGAAUUGUUUUUCCUAUUUCUGUGAGAAAUGCCAUUGACAUUUUGAUAGGGAUGGUGUUGAAUCUAUAUAAUGCUUUGGGUAGUAUGGACAUUUUAACACUAUUAAUUCUCCCGAUCCAUGAACAUGAAAUAUCUUUCCAUUCACUUGUGUCUUCUUCAAUUUAUUUCAACAGUCUUCUACAGUUUUCAUUGUGCAGAUCUUUCACUUCCCUGGUUAAAUUUAUUUCUAGAAUUUUAUUCUUUUUGAUAUAGUAAAUGGAAUUGUUUUCUUGAUUUCUAUAAAUUAUUUCUUAUAAUACUCAUA
rnacentral:lncRNA from 1 species